rnacentral:rRNA from 1 species
AUACGUAUGUCGCAAGCGUUAUCCGGAUUUAUUGGGCGUAAAGCGCGUCUAGGCGGCUUAGUAAGUCUGAUGUGAAAAUGCGGGGCUCAACCCCGUAUUGCGUUGGCAACUGCUAAACUAGAGUACUGGAGAGGUAGGCGGAACUACAAGUGUAGAGGUGAAAUUCGUAGAUAUUUGUAGGAAUGCCGAUGGGGAAGCCAGCCUACUGGACAGAUACUGACGCUAAAGCGCGAAAGCGUGGGUAGCAAACAGGAUUAGAUACCCUGGUAGUCCACGCCGUAAACGAUGAUUACUAGGUGUUGGGGGUCGAACCUCAGCGCCCAAGCUAACGCGAUAAGUAAUCCGCCUGGGGAGUACGUACGCAAGUAUGAAACUCAAAGGAAUUGGCGGGG